UACGGAGGGUGCGAGCGUUGUCCGGAAUCACUGGGCGUAAAGGGCGCGUAGGCGGCUUCUCAAGCGUGUGGUGAAAGUCCGGGGCUCAACCCCGGAUCGGCCGUGCGGACUGGGGAGCUCGAGUCUGUAGAGGCGGGUGGAAUUCCGGGUGUAGCGGUGGAAUGCGUAGAUAUCGGAAGGAACACCAGUGGCGAAAGCGGCUUCCUGGUCCGACACCGACGUUCAGGCAGCGAAAGCGUGGGGAGCAAACAGG
rnacentral:rRNA from 1 species